rnacentral:rRNA from 1 species
UACAGAGGUCUCAAGCGUUUGUUCGGAUUCAUUGGGCGUAAAGGGUGCGUAGGUGGCGCGGUAAGUCGGGUGUGAAAUCUCGGAGCUUAACUCCGAAAUUGCAUUCGAUACUGCCGUGCUCGAGGACUGGAGAGGGGACUGGAAUUCAUGGUGUAGCAGUGAAAUGCGUAGAGAUCAUGAGGAAGACCAGUGGCGAAGGCGGGUCUCUGGACAGUUCCUGACACUGAGGCACGAAGGUCAGGGGAGCAAACGGG